UACGGGGGGGGCAAGCGUUGUUCGGAAUUACUGGGCGUAAAGGGUUUGUAGGUGGCCCGCUAAGUCACACGUUAAAUCCCUCAGCUUAACUGGGGAACUGCGUGUGAGACUGGCAGGCUCGAGGGCAGGAGAGGAACGCGGAAUUCCAGGUGUAGCGGUGAAAUGCGUAGAUAUCUGGAGGAACACCGGUGGCGAAGGCGGCAUCCUGGACCGGUAUUGACGCUGAGGAGCGAAAGCCAGGGGAGCAAACGGG
rnacentral:rRNA from 1 species